GUAUUAAAACAAUUAAUAACAUGUUUGAUGCCUUAGACAGUCAUUUGAAAUAUGUGGCUAGGUUGCAUAUAUGUAAACUAUUACUUCUCAUCUCCUCUCGUAAUCUUUGGCAGAGUUGAUAAACAUCGAAGUAUUUCUCUAAAAUUGCUUUAGACAUCGAGUUGGUAUUUAGUUCAAAUUCAAUCAACUAAAUGACCUAUUAAUGAUCUGAAAGAGGGAAACAGAUACCAUAGGG
rnacentral:lncRNA from 1 species